GGUUGAUUUCCUGGUCUACCGGCCCCUGGAGGAGUGGUCAAUUUCCUGGUCUACCGUGGAUAUGAGUGGUUGAUUCCCUGGUCUACCCCUGGAUGACGCGGCUGUUCCUAUGCAGGGGAAGACUCACACAAGCGAUAAGCACCCGUCGGACCUGGAGACUCCCCCCUGAGCCUGACGGUGGAGCUGUGGGCCCUGCACCAGACCCCCACACCCCCCCACACCACCCACAGCAGGGGCAGGGCGUUGAGACUCCCCCCACAGGCUAAGACAGGGAGGGACUUGAAGAUCCAGGUUUUUGUCAUCUGCACAGGAAUUGACACUAUAGACAAUAAUUGACAAUAUAGUUUCCUUUUUUGUGUGUGCCCUUGAGCUGUCUCCUUUGUUGUAGAAAAAAAAUACUUGACAAGGCUUUCAUAGGUGUUUGGGGCAUUUCCAUGGGUAGUUUGAUGACCCUGGUGGUAGUCUGACCCUUCCUCUGUGCAAUGAACUUGAAAAAAACGCUCAUAAAAAUGCAGAUAUUAACCCAGUAGCAGCAGGGAUCAUGUUUCUUAAUGGUCCCUCCAAGCGAGAAAAAUGAGAAAAAAAAUCACCCCUCACACAAACCAUUUCAUAUAUAUCAAAGCAUUUGUGAUUAGAUUAUGUAUCAUCUAUUUUUGGGGGUUUAUAUCAUGGCACAAAUUUGGCCUGUCGCUGCUACAUGGUAAAGCCACAAAUUUGGCCCGUCGCUACUACUGGGUUAACCUCAUUGUCGUGUUAAAAUCCCUGUAUCUCACUGUUAUCUUCCUCUCCCUCUAUAUUAUUUGUCAAUCUCUCUCUUUCUCUCUCUCCCACAGAUGUCUAAGGUUCCGCCUAUGCAGCUGAAGGGUGCCAAUGCCUACACAUGCGUCGACCACAGGUGUGCGCUGGACAUUGCCUACAAUUCAUGGUGCAAAUGGGAGCGUCAGCGGAGAUUGAGCUGGCGGAAGGUUGGCGGCCGGGUCAAGCUCGCCUCGGACAAGGAGUUCUGUGAGAUGUGCUCGGCGGAUGUUGUUGACCUCGGCCACAUCAAUGUUACUAAGGUGGCGGAGGUGUGGGACUACAUCUACAUUGACGACGGACUCAAGGAGAUCCCUGAGACUACUAUUAUUACUAUUACUACUAUGUGUACUAUUAAAUCCUCUAUACUGCUACUAUGUGUACUAUUGAAUCCCUUAUAUAGUACUUCCAUGACAGCUGAUCUACUACUACUACUAUGACCACUCAAUCCCUGGUAAGUACAAUGUCAUUAUCAUCAUCAUUAUUUAGGUUAAGGUCCAUUUAAUUCAAUCUUCCUGAGCGGUUGGACGCUUUAUGGCUCUCCUCCAUUCUACUCUGUCUUCCGCCCAAUGCUUAUACAGUUCUAUCAAUCCCAAGUCUUCCUGUACACACCUUCUCCAUGUUUUUCUAGGUCUACCAACUGGUCUUCCUUCUACCUCCAUUCUGCUAUGUCUUCUGCCCAAUGCUCAUCCAAUCCCAUCACUGCUAAGUCUUCCUGUAUACACCUUCUCCAUGUUUUCCUAGGUCUACCAACUGGUCUCCUUCCUUCUACCUCCAAUCUCUCCAACACUCCCAGCACUGUAUCCUCCCCUGCUCUCUUUACAUGUCCAAACCAUCAGAGUCUUUCCCUUCUGAGCACUGUUUCCAGGUCCUCUACUAAAACUCCCAGCACUGUGUCCUCCCCUGCUCUCUUUACAUGUCCAAACCAUUGGAGUCUUUCCCUUCUGAGCACUGUUUCCAGGUCCUCUACUAAAACUCCCAGCACUGUGUCCUCCCCUGCUCUCUUUACAUGUCCAAACCAUCGGAGUCUUUCCCUUCUGAGCACUGUUUCCAGGUCCUCUACUAAAACUCCCAGCACUGUGUCCUCCCCUGCUCUCUUUACAUGUCCAAACCAUUGGAGUCUUUCCCUUCUGAGCACUGUUUCCAGGUACUCUACUAAAACUCCCAGCACUGUGUCCUCCCCUGCUCUCUUUACAUGUCCAAACCAUCGGAGUCUUUCCCUUCUGAGCACUGUUUCCAGGUCCUCUACUAAAACUCCCAGCACUGUGUCCUCCCCUGCUCUCUUUACAUGUCUCUGCCAAAUAUUUCCCUCUCCCUGCCUCUGUCCCUGCCAAAUCACUCUCUCCCUGCCUGUGUCCCUGCCAUGUCUCUCCCUCCCUGCCAAAUCUAGCCUCUCCCUACCUUACCCUGCCCUAAGCUAUCCUAACCUACCUCUCUCUCCACCAGGUUGACAAGCCCGUCCAUGGUGAAGAAGCCUUGUCCUACCCGUGCUGAGAUGACCCGUGUGGGCAACACUACCAUGGACGGAGCAGUGGGGGAGGCGGUGGCUGAGUGGAUAGCAUGAUGGCGCCACAUUCGGGACAACGUGAGUUCAAACCCCGCCCGGUGCCACCAAGCUGGGAUUUUUCAGCCGCCGCCGAGUGGCUUAAAACUACCCACAUGCGAGCAAAAUCUGGAAACUUAUCUUCGUUACUGGGGCUAUUUCCUUGCAAAUGGGGAUAUUCCUGGGAGAGUACGUCACGGCAAAGCCAUUUCUGGUCUCGAAAUAGCAAUACAGCGCCUACCGGUCGAGAUAGCCUUGUAUCUAGUUCUGUCUCUCUCUUAUCUCUGUGUGUUAUAUAAAGGCUGGCCUCUAACAAUACAUGCAACAACAUAUGUAACUGUACCUAAUGCGCUAUUUAGAAAUGUUUCAAAUGUUCUGUCUUUACCUCAAAGUUAAUUCAUUCUUCCUCAUAUAUAUAACUUGAUUGCCCUCUCGUCUUUUUAAUUAAUCCUCGAUCACUCUCUUUUAAUCAUCCCAGCCAGCUGUUCCUCAUAGUGGCUCUCGCACACCUGUACACAAUUUUCCGAACAUACCAAGAUACACUUUUAAUCGUCAGCCAACUCUGA